rnacentral:tRNA from 1 species
GGGGUUGUGGCUCAGUGGUGGAGCGCUUGCCUAAAACACAUGAGGCACUGGGUUCGAUACUCAGCACCACA